rnacentral:rRNA from 1 species
AACGAACGCUGGCGGCGUGCCUAAUACAUGCAAGUCGAACGCUGACGCGAUGAGCUUGCUCUUCUUGGGUGAGUUGCGAACGGGUGAGUAACGCGUAGAUAACCUUCCUUUUAGCGGGGGAUAACUAUUGGAAACGAUAGCUAAUACCGCAUAACAAUGGAUGACCCAUGUCAUUUAUUUGAAAGGGGCAAAUGCUCCACUACAAGAUGGACCUGCGUUGUAUUAGCUAGUAGGUGAGGUAACGGCUCACCUAGGCGACGAUACAUAGCCGAGCUGUGAGGGUGAGCGGCCACACUGGGAAUGAGACACGGCCCAGACUCCUACAGGAGGCAGAAGUAGGGAAAAUUUGGCAAUGGGGGCAACACUGACCGAGCAACGCCGCGUGAGGGAAGAAGGUUCUCGGGUCGUAAAGCGCGGUUGUGAGUGAAGAAAGAGUGUGAGAGUGGAAAGUUCACACUGUGACGGUAGCUUACCAGAAAGGGACGGCUAACUACGUG